rfam:Schistosoma rodhaini strain Burundi genome assembly, scaffold: SROB_scaffold0005477
GCACUGUUGAAGAGUCCCACAAUAGGACGAAUCGACCGUCCAGUGU